AUCGCUUCUCAGCCUUUUGGCUACGAUCAAGUGUAGUAUCUGUUCUUAUCAGUUUACUAUCUGAUAUGUCGAGGACAAUAUAUUAAGUGGAUUUUUGGAAUUAGGAGAUGGAAUAAGGAGCUUGCUCCGUCCACUCCACUCCACGCAUCCACCUGGUACUGCAGUACCUCCAGGAAGGGUGCACCAAAA